rnacentral:rRNA from 1 species
UACGAAGGACCCGAGCGUUAUCCGGAUUUAUUGGGUUUAAAGGGUGCGUAGGCGGAUUAGUAAGUCAGUGGUGAAAGCCCGUCGCUCAACGGCGGAACUGCCAUUGAUACUGCUAGUCUUGAGUAUGGUUGAGGUGGGCGGAAUGUGUCAUGUAGCGGUGAAAUGCUUAGAUAUGACCCAGAACACCAAUUGCGAAGGCAGCUCGCUAAGCCAUAACUGACGCUGAUGCACGAAAGCGUGGGGAGCAAACAGG